CUGGGAUCGAGGAGGAGUUGCAUUGUGAUAACCCAGAACCCCAGGGCCAGGUCAGGGCCUUGCCCUCAAAUGUUACAGAGGAGCCUGGCAGCAUUUCCUGGCUACUGUGAAAGUGCAGAAGGCAAAACCAGCAAAGGCGAGUCUGAUAAGUUAUUCUGCUUGACAUCUGGGCUAAAGACUUCACCAUAUAAGUAACCUAAUUGAUAAGAGAUGAGGCAAUGUAAUCCUACCAGCAUAUGGUGCAAUGAAGAAGGGCAAGAUGGCUCUUGAGCCAUGUAGCUGAUUGAAGAAGCGGAAGUCAGCUCUCGCGCUGAAUGCCCAGGGUUCUUCUGGCUCAGGAAGAGAAUUACUUCCAACUGUACGUACUCUUUCAGGAAGAGAGAAAGAAGCUUUUAAGUUUUUUCUAAUUUUUUUUAAUCUUGUGUAUUGAAACAAAACAAAAUACAAACAAGAGAAAAUAGUAAAAGAAAAAAGCGAUCGAGGAAUCCAAAUAGAACAUCCAAGAACUAACUUAAGGUCCCAAUCCUGCAGUGGACUGCUGCAUCCACUGACUUCUGUGAGGGGCUCUGUGUGGGCCCAGAAGUUUGUCUAGUCACUGUCAAUUGUAUGAUCAGAGCGUAAGUCAACCAAAGCCAUUUAUCAAACCUGGGGCAGGGCGGUAGGAAUUCCUGCGUGCAAACGUAGCUCUGUCACUGAAUCUGUGUGUGUCCUUGGGAAAGUCCUGUAUCGUGGGUGUUUUCUUCAAUCCAGUGCAUACAAUGGGGAUAACAACUCAUACUUAUGUGACGGGGGGGCUGGUCCCAAGGGAGUUAGGCACUCCAUAAGCAGUUAAGGCAGGAGCAGCAGGGGAGUUUUGUAAGGGAAUUUAGACAGGAAUUGCAUGAGGCAGCUACAUCUAGCAAACCUACGUUAACGCCAAUAACUCCCUUCAUGAAACAAAGCAUGCAAGAAUAAAAAUAAUGCAGGCAGAAGUCCAGCAGCAGCAUGGAGGCUAUUCAGUGUAUUGCACUGAAUGCAGCAUGUACAAUUACCUGCCUCAUGGGCAUAUGUGUGCACUUGGUGCAAACACCUCUGGGCCCCUAGAGACACAGUACAGGCUCUGGAAGCCAGAGUGGCUGAACUGGAGGAGCUAAGGGGAGACAGAGACUGAUACAGACAAGACCUUCACGGACACAGUAGUGUGGUCCCACAUCCAGUUCUGACAGCCUCUGUGCUGUUAAGGAGGAUGAAAGUCUCAGGGAAGGAGAACAUCAGGCUGGAGCAAAGGAAAAUAAUCUUAUAGUUGGGACCCUCCUUCCAGAUGUCACAGUGAGGAUACACCUCAUGGGGAGGGACCCAAGUUACUAGGAAGAGCCAGGUAAUAGUAAUGGGGGAUUUGAUUAUUAGAAAUAUAGAACUUCAUGGUAAAUUGCCUGCCAGAUGCAAAGGUUGCAGAUCUCCCAAGACUGUGUGCUAGAUGGACCAUUGGUCUGACCCAGUGUGGCCAAUCUUAUGAGCAGCUGAGCCUAAUAAAGGCUUAUGAGGGCUUAAUCAGGAAGCCCCAUACCAGAGGAAGCUCCUGAGGACAGAGACUCCUCAGGGGCACUAGUUAGGAAGCUACUCCCAUUGGUGUUUACCUGGAGAGCAGAGGCUCAUGGAGACAGAGGCGAAGACAGACUGACAAUGUCCUGGGCAAACCUUAAUGCAAUAAAGUUUCAUCUUAAUUCCAUAAAUUAAACCUUACUGAGUUAGGGUUAAUACCUUUGC